UGAGCAAAUGCAAGUCUAUUAUUAGACCUUAUCAUUGCAGAUAAAAAAUAAUUGUCAAGAGAUCAAAGAAAGCUUAAAAUAAUAAUAAUAUUUAUGUAAUGUUGAAAGAUAUUUAAAGAAUUAAAAAUAAUUUAUGAUCGAGUUAUUUCAUACAGAAAAUUACAUUAUUUUGACCAGGUAAAA